CGCACUAGUCACUUUGUCUUUAUGGCAAAUGUGAGAUGCAGUGUAUGGAAUGUCAAAUUUCUAGUAUGAGAAAUUAAUGAUUUAAGUCCUUCUUAAAUGAGGCCAUUUACCCAUAGAGGGUGCCAGGCCCGUAUAACAUUAAUGAUUACUAGAUGACAUUUCCAAAGAGUCGUGUUGCUUGAUAGUGCAGCACUAAGCGGGUGGUAAACUCCAUCUAAAACUAAAUAUAACCAUGAGACCGAUAGUAAACAAGUACCGUGAGGGAAAGUUGAAAAGAACUCUGAAUAGAGAGUUAAAUAGUACGUGAAACUGCUUAGAGGUUAAACCCGAUGAACCUGAAUAUCCAUUGUAGAAAAUUCAUCACUAUGAUAUUAUAUUUAAUAAAUAUUAUUAUAAUAGUGUGCAUUUUUUCUAUAAAGGACAUUGUAAUCUAUUAACAUAUAAAAAUUUAUCAUAAGAUCAGUAGCGUAAGUUUAUUUAAAUUAUUUUGCCUUGCAAAUUAACAUAGAAUAAAUGUUAUUGAUUUGAUAAAGUGUUGAUAGAUUAAUUUUUUGUAUAGUGCUUAAAUAUUUAUAUUUUAUAAUAGCAUAUUAAUAAUUUAUUUUUAUGUUUAUUAUAUGCACUUAUAUGAUUAACAAUGCGAAAGAUUCAGGAUACCUUCGGGACCCGUCUUGAAACACGGACCAAGGAGUCUAACAUAUUUGCAAGUUAUUGGGAAUUAAAACCUAAUAGCGUAAUUAACAUAACUUAUAUAAUGGGAUUAGUUUUUAAUCUAUUUUAAAUAAUAGUAUUAUUAAUUCAAUCCCGGGGCGUUCUAUAUAGUUAUGUAUAAUAAUAUUUUAUAUUAUUUAUACCUCUAACUAGAACGUACCUUGAGCAUAUAUGUUGUGACCCGAAAGAUGGUGAACUAUACUUGAUCAGGUUGAAGUCAGGGGAAACCCUGAUGGAAGACCGAAACAGUUCUGACGUGCAAAUCGAUUGUCAGAAUUGAGUAUAGGGGCGAAAGACCAAUCGAACCAUCUAGUAGCUGGUUCCCUCCGAAGUUUCCCUCAGGAUAGCUGGUGCAUUUAAAAAUUAUGUAAAAUAAUCUUAUCUGGUAAAGCGAAUGAUUAGAGGCCUUAGGGUCGAAACGAUCUUAACCUAUUCUCAAACUUUAAAUGGGUAAGAACCUCACCUUUCUUGGUAUGAAGGUAGUGGUUGUGAUAUAAUGUGCCCAGUGGGCCACUUUUGGUAAGCAGAACUGGCGCUGUGGGAUGAACCAAACGUAAUGUUACGGUGCCCAAAUUAACAACUCAUACAGAUACCAUGAAAGGCGUUGGUUGCUUAAAA
rnacentral:rRNA from 1 species